CCUACGGGAGGCAGCAGUGAGGAAUAUUGGUCAAUGGCCGGAAGGCUGAACCAGCCAUGCCGCGUGAAGGUCAGUGCCCUAUGGGCGUUAAACUUCUUUUGUGCGGGAGCAAUAAUGGUCACGUGUGGCCAGACGAGAGUACCGUACGAAUAAGCAUCGGCUAACUCCGUGCCAGCAGCCGCGGUAAUACUGGGGAUGCAAGCGUUAGCCGGAUUUAUUGGGUUUAAAGGGUGCGUAGGCUGUGAGGUAAGUCAGCGGUGAAAUGCCCCCGCUCAACGGGGUGAAGUGCCAUUGAUACUGCCUUGCUGGAAUGCGGAUGCCGUGGGAGGAAUGUGUGGUGUAGCGGUGACAUGCAUAGAUAUCACACAGAACACCGAUUGCGAAGGCAUCUCACGAAUCCGCGAUUGACGCUGAUGCACGAAAGCGUGGGUAUCAAACAGGAUUAGAUACCCCUGUAGUC
rnacentral:rRNA from 1 species